UGAACAUGUGUGUGCUAUCCGUCUAUUUUUUUAGUCAACAAAUCAGAAUUACAUAAGAAUUACAAAAUUAUAUAUAGCGCAUAUGAUCUGACAUUUUGCUUACACACACAUUGCCAAUAGUUGAACUAUUAUAAAUUUGGUGCAUAAAUGGCUAAAAACAAACAAAGAACAGUCUCCCUCUGAAGUGACCUAAGUGACCCGAUCUUUUGAAAGACACACUUUUCCCUUUUUCUUUUGGUGGUUGGGGGGGGAGGGGGAGAACAGCUUUUUUAGAGACCCAUUAAUUGACAAUCUCCAUAUACAAUGUGCCAUCUUGCACAGCCUAUGUCAAAAG
rnacentral:misc_RNA from 1 species